rnacentral:rRNA from 1 species
CAGUCUGAUGGAGCACGCCGCGUGAGUGAAGAAGGUUUUCGGAUCGUAAAGCUCUGUUGUUGGUGAAGAAGGAUAGAGGUAGUAACUGGCCUUUAUUUGACGGUAAUCAACCAGAAAGUCACGGCUAACUACGUGCCAGCAGCCGCGGUAAUACGUAGGUGGCAAGCGUUGUCCGGAUUUAUUGGGCGUAAAGCGAGCGCAGGCGGAAGAAUAAGUCUGAUGUGAAAGCCCUCGGCUUAACCGAGGAAUUGCAUCGGAAACUGUUUUUCUUGAGUGCAGAAGAGGAGAGUGGAACUCCAUGUGUAGCGGUGGAAUGCGUAGAUAUAUGGAAGAACACCAGUGGCGAAGGCGGCUCUCUGGUCUGCAACUGACGCUGAGGCUCGAAAGCAUGGGUAGCGAACAGGAUUAGAUACCCUGGUAGUCCAUGCCGUAAACGAUGAGUGCUAAGUGUUGGGAGGUUUCCGCCUCUCAGUGCUGCAGCUAACGCAUUAAGCACUCCGCCUGGGGAGUACGACCGCAAGGUUGAAACUCAAAGGAAUUGACGGGGGCCCGCACAAGCGGUGGAGCAUGUGGUUUAAUUCGAAGCAACGCGAAGAACCUUACCAGGUCUUGACAUCUAGUGCCAUCCUAAGAGAUUAGGAGUUCCCUUCGGGGACGCUAAGACAGGUGGUGCAUGGCUGUCGUCAGCUCGUGUCGUGAGAUGUUGGGUUAAGUCCCGCAACGAGCGCAACCCUUAUUAUUAGUUGCCAGCAUUAAGUUGGGCACUCUAAUGAGACUGCCGGUGACAAACCGGAGGAAGGUGGGGAUGACGUCAAGUCAUCAUGCCCCUUAUGACCUGGGCUACACACGUGCUACAAUGGGCAGUACAACGAGAAGCGAGCCUGCGAAGGCAAGCGAAUCUCUGAAAGCUGUUCUCAGUUCGGACUGCAGUCUGCAACUCGACUGCACGAAGCUGGAAUCGCUAGUAAUCGCGGAU